rnacentral:rRNA from 1 species
GACGAACGCUGGCGGCGUGCUUAACACAUGCAAGUCGAACGAUGAAGCCGGUGCUUGCUCUGGUGAAUUAGUGGCGAACGGGUGAGUAACACGUGAGUAACCUGCCCUUGACUCUGGGAUAACUGCUAGAAAUGGUAGCUAAUACCGGAUACGACCCUCGGAGGCAUCUCCAGGGGGUGGAAAGAAUUUCGGUCAAGGAUGGACUCGCGGCCUAUCAGCUAGUUGGUGAGGUAACGGCUCACCAAGGCGACGACGGGUAGCCGGCCUGAGAGGGUGACCGGCCACACUGGGACUGAGACACGGCCCAGACUCCUACGGGAGGCAGCAGUGGGGAAUAUUGCACAAUGGGCGCAAGCCUGAUGCAGCGACGCCGCGUGAGGGAUGACGGCCUUCGGGUUGUAAACCUCUUUCAGCACCGACGAAGCGCAAGUGACGGUAGGUGCAGAAGAAGGACCGGCCAACUACGUGCCAGCAGCCGCAGUAA